UUACAUCAGCAGUCAUCUCCGUGAUAGAGUGUGGUCGGAGCCCGUCUUUCUUGCCAGGGCUCCCAGUGGGACAUCCUCCAAAACCUUGUGGCUAAUACACGCACGCCCAGGUCGGCCGUGGGAAAACGUCUGUCUCGACACAGCGGCACCGUCCGGCUCUCGUCGUCCUCUCGCAGGCGACGGCCGAUUGCGCCCAGCCGAUCGAAAGAUCAGCGCCCAUCCCAUGGGCAGCGUUUUCCUGGUGGCUGACUCAGGCUGGUCCCCCAACCCGUGGGGACGGUCGCCCUGGCAGAGUUUCGUGGGGUCCCCUCCGCGGGGCCCCCGGUGGCAUUGCUUGAUCACACGAACUUCUGACCUAUCAGCUGGGAUUGUGGUGUAGAGGACCACAAUGGCGAUGACGGGUAACGGAGAAUCAGGGUUCGAUUCCGGAGAGGGAGCCUGAGAGACGGCUACCACCGCCAAGGCGGGCAGCAGGCACGCAAAUUGCCCAAUGGAGAAACACAGUCCGAGGCAGCGACGAACCGUAGCAAUCCCGCCGGGGUUCUUCCCCGGUGGGACUUGGGAUGGAUGCAAUCCAAACACAGUGAUGAGUAUCAACUGGAGGGCAAGUCUGGUGCCAGCAGCUGCGGUAAUUCCAGCUCCAAGGGCAUAUACUGACAUUGCUGCUGUUAAAACACCUGUAGUCUGCCACUGGGUUCAGGUCUGCUGGGCGGCCGGGCCCCGGGGGUCUCCUCUCCCUGUCCCCUGCCCCCGCGCUUCGGCGCGCGGGGCGGGGCGGGGCGGGGGGCCUUCGGACCCGGGCAAAACCCCCGGCGGUAUGCUCCUGCGCCCGCAAAGUACCAACGACGGUGUGAAUCGCUCCUGCCGAAAGUCCCCUUCACUGGGGGCCAAGGCGGCCUCGUGCCCCUGACGCAGGCGUGGGGAUCAGACCCUGGGACCGGGCCCUUCCAGUGUGCCCGGGCGGCCUCCCAGCCCCGCCCCCGGAGCCCACCGUGUCGACACCGUGGAAAACUCAGUGUGCUCAAGGCGUCCUCCUGAUGGCUGAAUGCUCCUCCAUGGCAUGUCGCCGCAUCGACCAACCGUUCAAUCCAAAUGGCAAACAGAGUUGUGCUGGUCUUGGCGCCCGGUCUGGGCAAGGUGGUGCAUGGCCUCUCUCCCCGCCCCCGUCCCCGGCGGGACCGUCGGCUGCCCCCACCGGGGCCCGGCGCCCGCCCGCCGGGGCGCGGCGGGGCAGAGUGCGUGCAUCGGUCGCCGACGAGGGGACCGUUCAGGGUGAAGGAUAUUUCAGCGCCAGAGGUGAAAUUCUUAGACCGCUGCAAGAUCGACUGCGGCGAAGGCGCUCGGCAGGUGCGUGUUCGUUCGAUCAAGGAUGAGAGUUCGGGGAGCAAAGAUGAUCAGACACCGUCGUAGUCCGCACCGUAAACCGUGCCGGCUCGGCCUUGGCCGGGGAAAUCAACGGACCCCGCCAGGGCCAUGCCCCCUUCACCGAGAAAUCCACAGCCUGUGGGUUCAGGGGGGAGUACGUUCGCAAGGCUGAAACUUAAAGGAAUUGACGGAAUGGCACCACAAGGCGUGGAGUAUGCGGCUUAAUUUGACUCAACACGGGGAACGUUACCAGGUCAGGACGCAGCUGGGAUGGACAGACUGAGAGCUCUUUCUUGAUCCUGUGGACGGUGGUGCAUGGCCGCUCCUGAUUGGUGGAGUGAUUUGUCUGGUUGAUUCCGAUAACGAAUGAGAUAUCUGCCUUCCAGUAGCCCCGGGCUCGUAUCCGGUAGGGCCGCGGCCCUCGACCACGCCCCCCUCGCCACGGGCGGGGGCCGUGGGGGUUCGCCCCCGCGCCCCGUCCUGGGCGGGGGUCCAGGCGCCCUGGGCCGGCCCGAGAGCCUCCCCAUUUCGGGUCCAGCUUCUCUGAGGUGCUGUGUACGCUUCCCAAAGUGCACGUAUGCGAGAGCCAACAGCAGGUCUGUGAUGCUCCCAGAUGUCCUGGGCCGCACGCGCACUACAUUGAUCCAGUGAGGGUGUGUCCGCCCGACCCCGUUCGGGCCCUGGCCGGAGGCGGCCGGGAAACCCUGCAAGCCUGGAUCGUACUGGGGAUAGAUGAUUGCAACUGUCUGCCUUGAACGUGGAAUGCCUAGUAAGGGUUGGUCAUCAGCCAACCCUGAUUGUGGCCCUGCC
rnacentral:rRNA from 1 species